rnacentral:rRNA from 1 species
CCCCAGACUCCUACGGGAGGCAGCAGUGAGGAAUAUUGGUCAAUGGCCGGAAGGCUGAACCAGCCAAGUCGCGUGAGGGACGACUGCCCUAUGGGUUGUAAACCUCUUUUAUAAGGGAAGAAUAAAUGCUACGUGUAGCAUGAUGCCUGUACCUUAUGAAUAAGCAUCGGCUAACUACGUGCCAGCAGCCGCGGUAAUACGUAGGUGGCAAGCGUUGUCCGGAUUUACUGGGUGUAAAGGGCGUGUAGCCGGGCCGGCAAGUCAGAUGUGAAAUCCCAAGGCUCAACCUUGGAACUGCAUUUGAAACUGUUGGUCUUGAGUAUCGGAGAGGCAGGCGGAAUUCCUAGUGUAGCGGUGAAAUGCGUAGAUAUUAGGAGGAACACCAGUGGCGAAGGCGGCCUGCUGGACGACAACUGACGGUGAGGCGCGAAAGCGUGGGGAGCAAACAGGAUUAGAUACCCUAGUAA